rnacentral:tRNA from 1 species
UGUUCUGUUGCUCAAUUGGUUAAAGCGCCGGGCUAGUGACAUGGAGUCGAGGGUUCGAAUCCCACCAAAAGAA